GCCCUUAGCCCUCUAUUAGGGGUGACGCCUGCCCGAUGAUUUGUCCUAAGUUUGACAUCCUCAAAUGAACCCAAAUUCAAUGGCCGCGGUAUUUCUGACCGUGAUAAUGUAGCGAAAUCAAUCGUCACUUAAUUGCUGACCUGUAUCAAAGGUAUUACGAAUGUCCCCCUGUCUCUGAAAAAACACCCGUGAAAUUGAAGAAGCCGUGCAUAUGCGGCUUAUAUACUGUAAGACGAAAAGACCCUAUUGAGCUUUACUAUACGCUUUUCAUUCACUUACUAUUUUCUAAAGAAACCCUUUAAAAAAGUAACCCUGGAAAGUGAGGUAGUUUCGUUGGGGCGACGACCUCUUAAAAAGUAACAGAGGUUAGCGAAGGUUUUUUCUAAAUGGAAAACGCUUGACUGUUUGGCUAAUAAGCCUAACAGACACAACCGUGGGCCAUAACAUUCCACUAAAAGAGCCACCUAUUAGUGCCAAAACAUAAAAGUUACCAUAGGGAUAACAGCGUAAUUUUGUCGAAGAGCUCUUAUCGAUGACAAGAUUGCGA
rnacentral:rRNA from 1 species